rnacentral:lncRNA from 10 species
UUUGCUGGGGAGGCGCCGGCGCGGCGGCUGCGCAGCUCGAAGUUUCCGCGCGAGGUGGGCGGGCCGGGCUGGGCCGGGCGCUGCGGGGCCGGGACCUGGUCUUGGAGCUCUGCGACCGCGCGCUCGCCCUCCCGCGGCGUUUGCAGGCGCCGCCGCCCCUUCCGCCCCUUGCGCGGGACUGCGACCUGAAAAAGUGACUUUUACUCAUGUGAGCUGCCUUCAGAGAAGCCUCCUCCAGAAACAGGAGAAUGCGUGGCUCUCUAGUGUGGUCCCAUCUCUGCAGGGUUUGUGGAUGUUAAGGGUCCCAAACCUGCACCCGAUGUCACAGGCACAUUACUGCCGUAAGGAGCAUGGAUGCCACACUGGAGAUUGACACAGGAGCAGGCUCGGACACAAUAGGAGUUUGCACGAUGCAGGUCCUUUUUUUUCCCCAGAAUUUGACAUUGUAGCAGAAACAGAAAAUGAGAUUACACAUGAAAUUGUGGAAAAGGAGGGCGACUCAGAGAUCACAGGGAGCGUGGGUGAAGCCCUGGAGAAGGGACUGGAUUCCAUGGUGAAGCGCGAAUCCGGGAUAGACACAAUUUCCCAGAAGUUUAGCACUCAACUACCCCUUGAACCAGAACGGAUUCUCAGAUAAAGGCAGAGGGCUUGCUGCCAUUUGGACUUCUGGUGAAAAUAUCUUUCAAGAAAAGGGUAUUCCAGACUGCCUCUGUGUUGCCAAGAGAAUGUUUGAAUUCCAGGCCCUGCAGCUGGCCCUGAAUCGCCUGAAGGC